rnacentral:pre_miRNA from 1 species
CUUGUACUCCCUCCGUCCGGAAAUACUAUAAAAGGGGAUGUAUGUAGACAUAUUUUAGUUCGAGAUACAUCUCUUUUUAUCCAUUUUGAUGAGAAGUAUUUUCGGACGGAGGGAGUAUAUA